CCGUGAGAUGGGCUCUACCAGACAUCGUGGUUCCCUUCGGCCACCUCAAGGCUCCAGCCACCAGCCGCCCAGCCCUACUCGGACGCCGCCGCCGCCGCCGGCGCACCAGGCGCUCGCUUACCAUCCUCCCCCAAACCCCGGCGCGGCAUCCUGUCGGCAGGCUGGUGCUCGUGCGCCGGCAACGGCUGCUGAGGGGCUCAGACGAGGCGAGGCGGAGCGGGCGAGAGAGCGCGAUGGCAUCGCUGGGGCGGCUCAAGUCCGCCAUCUUCGACAGGGAGGAGAGGAGGAUGCUGAAUUGUUGCUUCACGACUCUGGAUGUGGGAUUCAUGGAUGCAGGCAGUACCAGUCGCACAUCCGGGGGCUCAACGCGUACGAUCGCCACAAGAAGUUCAUGAAGGAUUAUGUUCAGUUUUAUGGCCAUGGGAAAAAUGUGGAUGACAGUCUGCCCAUCAAAACUGAUAAGGAUACAUUGAGAGAAGGAUACAGGUUCAUUCUUACCGAGGAAGAUGACAUGGAUUCAACUUGGGAGAAGAGGCUGGUCAAACGUUACUAUGACAAGCUUUUUAAAGAGUAUUGCAUUGCUGACAUGACCCAGUAUAAAAAAGGCAAGAUUGGAUUGAGAUGGAGAACAGAAAAAGAAGUGAUAUCUGGCAAAGGGCAAUUUAUCUGUGGCAAUAGGCAUUGUGAUGAAAAACAUGGGCUAGGUAGUUAUGAGGUGAAUUUUUCUUAUGUUGAAGCAGGGGAGCAGAAACAAGCACUAGUGAAGCUGGUAGCUUGCAAGGGAAAAGCUUGCUUAUAAGAGGCUGAAGGAGAAAGAGAAAGAGAAGGAGGCGGAUCCCUACGGUGAAAAGGAAAUUGAGUUGAAAGACAGGGACAAGAGAAAGAGAGAACAUGAGGAAAGUGAUGAUACCUCUGAGGAUGAGGCCAAGAAAGAUAGAAGAAAGAAAAAAGAUCGGAAGGGAGCUUCUUCAAGGAGUUCAGGAAACAACGAUGAAGGUUUUGAAGAGUUCCUCGAAGGCAUGUUCCCAUGAUCCGGUUAUCUUUGUGGCUACAAAAAGUUGUUCCAUGCUCUUUCGGGGUAAAAACGAGCACGGAUCUUGUAUAACAAAGCGAUUAGUAGUGGAGUGGCAAAUCGUUGCAAAUCCGACCCUUGAUGUGCUUUGACUACAAGUCAAUGUUGGUGCGCUAUCUGUAAUUAUGUGUGCCCGUGCUGUUUCAAUUUCACAUCGCUUUCGUAGCUGUUAGAGAUGCCUGUUACUCUGUUAGUCAAAGAAAAGAUGAAUGUGACUACUCGUGGGUCUACUUGAGUCUUACACUGAAGGAGUGAGGGACAUUUGACUAACAGUGAAGCUUGUGUAUCUAUGUGAAGCUUGUGUAUCUA